rnacentral:lncRNA from 1 species
GCCUGGGGCUUCCCGGGUUUUAGCACUGAAAGGCCCACGUCCCGGACGAACCGGGACAGUUGGUCCCCCUCCGUGAGCAAACUUGCUCCUCCGCCCGGAGGGGAGAAGGCGGGGCCGAUGGGCCCCACCCCAGCGCGCAGGGCCUUCAGCCAUUGACCGAGAGCGGGACAGAGCACCCGGGCGAGCUCUGCCGGGCAACCCGAGCCCGAUUCUCAGCCGCUGCCCAGAGCCUCUCAGCCUCAGGCCCCUCCCUGGCACUGCCUUUCCCAGACCCGCUUCUUCCUGGAAAAUCAAGAUCAUCCUCCAUAACAUGGGUGGGCCUCCUCCAAUCAGUUGAAGGACUUAAUGGAACAGCCUGACCUCCCCUGAGCAAGAAGGAAUUCUGCCAUCCCACAGCCUUCAAACUUGAACUUCAACAUCAGCUCUUCCCUGGAUCUCCAGCCUGCCAGCGCCCCCUGCAGAUUUUAGACUUGCUAGCCUCCAUAAUCAUGCCAAGGCUGCCAUCUUGAGUCAGAGGAUCCACUGGGUGGGAAGCACCUGCCACCUGCACCCAGGGCUUCUCUCCGGAUGCAGGGCUUCCCCCAGGGAGGAAAAAAAGGAAAGAAAGAAGGAGGGAAGGAGAUUGAGCUGAGCUGGAGAGUGUGCCUGGCAAAACCUGAGCCCCAAGCAUUUCUGCCCUGAUUGGAUCCUUGUCACUAACCAAGCUUAUUCCAAGCUUGGGACCUUUACACCGUCCUCUGCCUGGAAUCCCCAAGAUGGAUGCACAGCUGGCUCCUUCCAAUCAUCGUUCCAGUCUCACUUCAUGCGUCACCUCAGGGAGGUGACCUGAUCACCAUCAUUGUAGGUCCUUCUGGUUGUGCUAUGCAGGACGCUGCCCCAGCAUGGCUUGAUGAGCGGUGCCAUGUCCCCGCCCAGGAUCUGAACCGGCAAAACCCUGGGCCGCUGAAGCAGAGUGCGUGAACUUAACCACUCGGCCACGGGGCCGGCCCUCAGCACUUUCUUUUUAAAACUCCUAGAAUCCAACUAAUGAAAACUAAUUUGCUGAAAAAUCAAUGUGCUGAAUUCUUAACGAUUUGGGGAAAAUUUGAGUUUCACUCUAGUCCUGGGUGGUACCAGACAAACACCUUCAACCAAGUCUAGGUCAAUUCACUGCAGCUGUCCUGCAGCCAGAGGCAGCAGCAUGGAUGAUAGCAAAGCAAAAUCUUGGGGGGGAAAUCCCUAGGCAUGGGUUGACUUGGUCACUUAGCAAUUGGGUAUACAGGGGAGGAUCCCAGGCAGUGGGGUGGCCUCUUUCCAUGGGGCCCAGGGCCAAGCUGGGGGUGGGAUUAGAAGCGAAGAUGAGGGGUAGCAAGGUCCAUCUCAAAGUGGAGCUUUUCCAACAUACUGAGAGCCAUGAGCUGAGCCACACCCCAAGAAGAUGCUCUGGUAAAUCUGCAUGAUCUUGGCUUGACACUGGAAUCUUAGGUAUGACACCUAAAGUACAGACAACAAAAGAAAAAAUAGAUCAAUUGGAUUUCAUCAAAAUUAAAACUUUUUUGUAUCAAAGGACGUUAUCAAGAAAGUGAAAAGACAAACUACAGAAUAGGAGAAAGUAUUUGUAAAUCAUAUAUCUGAUAUACAUCCAGAAUAUAUAAAGAACUCUUAUGAAAGACAAACAUCAUAUGAUUUCACUCAUAUGUGGAAGAUAAACAAACACACAGAUAAGGAGAACAGAUUAGUGGUUACCAGAGGUGAAGGGGGUUACUGGAGAGGAAGGGAGGGUGAAAGGGGUAAAGAGGCAUGUGUGUGUGGUGACAGAUAAAAACUAGACUAUUGGUGGUGAGCACGAUACAGUCUAUACAGAAACUGAAAUAUAAUAAUGUACACCUGAAAUU